AUUGAACGCUGGCGGCAUGCCUUACACAUGCAAGUCGAACGGCAGCGCGGGGGCAACCCUGGCGGCGAGUGGCGAACGGGUGAGUAAUAUAUCGGAACGUACCCAAGAGUGGGGGAUAACGUAGCGAAAGUUACGCUAAUACCGCAUACGAUCUAAGGAUGAAAGCAGGGGACCGCAAGGCCUUGUGCUCCUGGAGCGGCCGAUAUCUGAUUAGCUAGUUGGUGGGGUAAAGGCCUACCAAGGCAUCGAUCAGUAGCUGGUCUGAGAGGACGACCAGCCACACUGGGACUGAGACACGGCCCAGACUCCUACGGGAGGCAGCAGUGGGGAAUUUUGGACAAUGGGGGGCAACCCUGAUCCAGCAAUGCCGCGUGAGUGAAGAAGGCCUCGG
rnacentral:rRNA from 1 species